rnacentral:rRNA from 1 species
UACGGAGGUGGCAAGCGUUGUUCGGAAUUAUUGGGCUUAAAGCGCGUGUAGGCCGGACCGAAAGUGUCGAGUGAAAGCCCUUGGCUCAACCAAGGAAUGGCUUGGCAUACUGCGGUUCUUGAGGCAGGUAGAGGUCGCUAGAACGACGGGUGGAGCGGUGAAAUGCGUAGAUAUCCGUUGGAAUGCCGGUGGCGAAAGCGGGCGACUGGACCUGUCCUGACGCUGAGACGCGAAAGCGUGGGGAGCAAACAGGAUUAGAUACCCUGGUAGUCCACGCCGUAAACGAUGCGCACUAGGCUUGAGAGGCUCUGACGCCGAUCGAGCCGAAGCAAAAGUGGUAAGUGCGCCGCCUGGGGAGUACGGCCGCAAGGCUAAAACUCAAAGGAAUUGACGGGGGCUCACACAAGCGGUGGAGUAUGUGGAUUAAUUCGAAGCAACGCGCAGAACCUCACCUAGGUUUGACAUGCUAGGAUGCCCUUUGGGAAACCAGAGUAAGCUGCCUUCGGGUGAAACUAGCACAGGUGCUGCAUGGCUGUCGUCAGCUCGUGCUGUGAAGUGUCGGGUUAAGUCCCUUAACGAGCGAAACCCCUAUCGUUAGUUGCCAUCGGGUAAAGCCGGGAACUCUAGCGAGACCGCCGGUGUCAAACCGGAGGAAGGCGGGGAUGACGUCAAGUCAUCAUGGCCUUUAUGCCUAGGGCGUCACACGUACUACAAUGGGCGCGACAGAGCGAAGCGAGACCGUGAGGUGGAGCAAAUCGCACAAACGCGUCCUCAGUUCAGAUCGGAGUCUGCAACCCGACUCCGUGAAGUUGGAAUCGCUAGUAAUCGCGGAUCAGCCAUGCCGCGGUGAAUGUGUUCCUGAGCCU